rnacentral:rRNA from 1 species
UACGUAGGGUGCAAGCGUUAAUCGGAAUUACUGGGCGUAAAGCGUGCGCAGGCGGCUUUGCAAGACAGAUGUGAAAUCCCUGGGCUCAACCCAGGAACUGCGUCCGAUACUGGUUGGCUUGAAUCCGGGAGAGGGAUGUGGAAUUCCAGGUGUAGCGGUGAAAUGCGUAGAUAUCUGGAGGAACACCGGUGGCGAAGGCGACAUCCUGGACCGGUAUUGACGCUGAGGCGCGAAAGCCAGGGGAGCAAACGGG